rnacentral:rRNA from 1 species
AUUGAACGCUGGCGGCAGGCCUAACACAUGCAAGUCGAACGAGUGGCGGACGGGUGAGUAAUGUCUGGGAAACUGCCCGAUGGAGGGGGAUAACUACUGGAAACGGUAGCUAAUACCGCAUACCAUCGGAUGUGCCCAGAUGGGAUUAGCUAGUGGGUGGGGUAACGGCUCACCUUGGCGACGAUCCCUUGCUGGUCUGAGAGGAUGACCAGGCACACUGGAACUGAGACACGGUCCAGACGCCUACGAGAGGCAGCAGAGGGGAAUAUUGCACAAUGGGCGCAAGCCUGAGACAGCCAUGCCGCGUGUAUGAAGAAGGCGUUCGGGUUGUAAAGUACUUUCAGCGAGGAGGCGGUACUCGCAUAAGAAGCACCGGCUAACUACGUGCCAGCAGCCGCGGUAAUAC